rnacentral:rRNA from 1 species
UACGUAGGGUGCAAGCGUUGUCCGGAAUUAUUGGGCGUAAAGAGCUCGUAGGCGGCUUGUCGCGUCGACUGUGAAAACCCGCGGCUCAACUGCGGGCCUGCAGUCGAUACGGGCAGGCUAGAGUUCGGUAGGGGAGACUGGAAUUCCUGGUGUAGCGGUGAAAUGCGUAGAUAUCGGGAGGAACACCAGUGGCGAAGGCGACUACCUGGCCUGUUCUUGACGCUGAGGCGCGAAAGCUAGGGGAGCAAACGGG